AUUGGGACAGGCUUUGCCUGUAAGAGGGCUGGUCUGGGGGGACAUCUGAACCCAAUUCAGGAACACCUCACAGGUCUGCCAGCAGGGCUAGACCCGGGGUGAGAUCCAGGGCAACAGGGUCUGCCUGGGAAGCUCAGCUCCGGCACUGCCUGGGGCGUCUCUGCCUACACAGGACCAUUCCUCUCGCCUGGACUCCUCUUGGAGUUUGCCAAGGCUGGCCUCUGCAGAAAUAGGAGACUCCUGGAGGAAGACAGUGGACUUCAGCAAGCUGCACCAAGGAGAAUCCACAGCGGCAGCUGCCCUGCCAGGCGCGGGAUCUCGGUCAAGGUGGAUCAACACAGCCUCAGGUGUGUGCUCUGCCCCACUGAGAUGGCAAGUGCAUUCUUUUCUAUUCCUACGAGGAAAGAGCAUCCGAAAGAGCCUGCCUUCACAUAGGAUGAAUAACAGUGGACCUUGGCUUUGCCUCAGUGUUAUGUGCUAAUAAACCAUGUAUUCUAUGCCCUAAGGAAGCCCAGAGAGAACUGGACAAGCUGGAUAUCCCAAAGAGCAUGGCACUGGCCCACCACAUUGAUUACAUUGCGCUGGCCGGGUGCUAACCAAGAAGCAGCUAACACACUGGGAGUCUUGGUAAGAUGCCUGAGUGCCUGCAGCUGGCAGACAAAUCCUACAAAGAUUCUGGGAACUGCCACUAAUAACACUCUUGGUGGGGAGGUCCCAUAUCCCAUAACCAGGAGCAUACUGGGCCUCCUGUCCACAGCAAAGAGCCAAUUACUGCAUCUUGCAUCUCCCAUGACCAAGAGAGACAGACAAUGCCAGUACGCCUUCUGGAGGCAGCACGUUCCACACACAUGAAGACUACUCCAGCCUAUGUACCAUUGAUAGGAGAAGCUGUCGGCCUUCCCUGAGCCUGCAGCAGGUCGAGGCUGCAGUGCUGGCAGCCCUGUGACUCAGGCCCUGCAGCUGGUCGGACCCUGUGUUAUGAGAGGUAUCAGACGUGGGAAAGCAAUGCUGUGUGUUUAUGGCAAACCACUAUGCCAGAAUCACAGUGCAGGCCCCUGGGAUUCAGAAACAAAGCCGUGCCAUCUGCGGCAGAGGAUUCUGCGAAAAAUUCUGAAAAGUCCCUGUUGAUGUGCUCCUGGGGCCUGGGGUGAUGGAAUACCUGAUUGUGCAUGUGGAACUGCUCAGAUGAGCUGGAUUCUGUCUCACCCCUGGGUCAUGAGGUUGGGGACUCAGAAAUAACCCAUCACAGGUGGGAGUGUGCGUGUGGCAGCAGCAGAAGCAGGAGCAGGAGGCCAAGCAGCGGCAGCUGCCCAGUACCCCCCCCCACCCUCCACAGCAGUCCCCACAGCCCCAGUGGAGGAACCUUCUGGUGAACUGAGGAGGGAGGGACAAGCCCGGCCUCAGUUCAUGGAGGUGUCUGCUCUGCCUGUGGGGCCAGCCCAAAUCGCCUGGCUGCCAUACUCCAGUCUCAGCAAGCUGCCCUUUAAAGAGGGUGAUAUGGUUUGGCUCUGUGUCCCCACCCAAAUCUCAUCUUGAACUGUAAUCCCCAGGUGAUGAGGGUGAGACCUGAUGGGAAGUGAUUGGAUCAUGGGGGCUGUUUUCCCCAUGCUGUUCUCGUGAUAGUGAAGGAGUUCUCAUGAGAUCUGAUGGUUUUAUAAGUGUCUGGCAAUUCCCCUGCUUGCACUUGUCUUUCUCACCCACCACCACGUAAGACGUGCCUGCUUCCCCUUCCGCCAUGAUUGUAAGUUUCCUGAGGCGUCCCCAGCCAUGCAGAACUGUGAGUCAAUGAAACCUCUUUUCUUUAUAAAUUACCCAGUCUUGGGUAGUAUCUUUAUAGCAAUGUGAGAACGGACUAACACAGAGGGUGAUGAGGGAACAUUCUCCCAGUGGUCAUCCCCUCUGUGUAAGUGGCUGUGAGGUUAGAAGAUCUCUGAACCCAUGGGCAAUGGCCAACGACUUUGCCGGCUGAACCCAGAAUGGGAGCGAUGUGGAGAGUGGGGA
rnacentral:lncRNA from 10 species